UGACGUCCCCCACGCCCCGGAGACUGGGAGUCAGAGAUCACUUCUAGAUGCAUCCCUCAACUUUAUAUCUCUACAACUACUCCUGAUGAGGGAUAAGAAUAAUUCCUGCUUAUAAGAGGUCUGCAGUCCAGUGGAUUCUGGCCCAGGGAAAUCCUCAACUCUAAUUAAGCUGCUUUGCAAGCCCACUUACCUGACACGAGCACACAGCAAGUGAUAAAAUGAUGAC